rnacentral:rRNA from 1 species
UACGAAGGGGGCUAGCGUUGCUCGGAAUCACUGGGCGUAAAGCGCACGUAGGCGGGUCCUUAAGUCAGGGGUGAAAUCCCGGAGCUCAACUCCGGAACUGCCUUUGAUACUGGGGAUCUUGAGUCCGGAAGAGGUGAGUGGAACUCCGAGUGUAGAGGUGAAAUUCGUAGAUAUUCGGAAGAACACCAGUGGCGAAGGCGGCUCACUGGUCCGGUACUGGACGCUGAGGUGCGAAAGCGUGGGGAGCAAACAGG